CAAACGGUCCUUAUCAGGGCCACCAAAAAUGAUGCCUCAAAAGUUAU
rfam:Aedes albopictus isolate Foshan contig111752, whole genome shotgun sequence.